CCUUUGGGGCGGGGCGCAAUUCCCCACCGGCGGUAUAGUCCGCGAGCCUUAGGGCAUGAACCGGUGUAAUUCCGGUACCGACAGUAUAGUCUGGAUGAUAAAAGGUG
rnacentral:ncRNA from 1 species